rnacentral:rRNA from 1 species
GAUAAACGCUGGCGGCGUGCCUAACACAUGCAAGUCGAACGCACUUCUUUCGGGAGGUGAGUGGCGCACGGGUGAGUAACACGUGGGUACCUACCCUACAGGUGAGGAAUACCGCCGAGAAAUCGGCGACAAGACCGCAUAGGCUCGGCUCUCUCGCGAGAGGGAGGCGAGCAAAGCUUUGUCUCGCAAGAGGCGGGGUGCCUGAGGAUGGGCCUGCGGCUGAUUAGCUGGUUGGUGGGGUAAAAGCCUACCAAGGCGACGAUCAGUAGCUGGUCUG